UACAGAGGUCUCAAGCGUUGUUCGGAUUCAUUGGGCGUAAAGGGUGCGUAGGUGGCGCUGUAAGUCGGGUGUGAAAUUUCGGAGCUUAACUCCGAAACUGCAUUCGAUACUGCGGUGCUUGAGGACUGGAGAGGAGACUGGAAUUCGAUGGUGUAGCAGUGAAAUGCGUAGAGAUCAUGAGGAAGACCAGUGGCGAAGGCGGGUCUCUGGACAGUUCCUGACGCUGAGCACGAAGGCCAGGGGAGCAAACAGG
rnacentral:rRNA from 1 species